GAUGAACGCUGGCGGCGUGCCUAAUACAUGCAAGUCGAGCGAACAGACGAGGAGCUUGCUCCUCUGACGUUAGCGGCGGACGGGUGAGUAACACGUGGAUAACCUACCUAUAAGACUGGGAUAACUUCGGGAAACCGGAGCUAAUACCGGAUAAUAUAUUGAACCGCAUGGUUCAAUAGUGAAAGACGGUUUUGCUGUCACUUAUAGAUGGAUCCGCGCCGCAUUAGCUAGUUGGUAAGGUAACGGCUUACCAAGGCAACGAUGCGUAGCCGACCUGAGAGGGUGAACGGCCACACUGGAACUGAGACACGGGACAGACUCAUACGGGAGGAAGCAGUAGGGAAUCUUCCGCAAUGGGAGAAAGCGUGAAGGAGCAAAGCCGCGUGAGUGAUGAAGGUCUUGAGAUCGUAAAACUCUGUUAUUAGGGAAGAACAAAUGUGUAAGUAACUAUGCACGUCUUGACGGUACCUAAUCAGAAAGCCACGGCUAACUACGUG
rnacentral:rRNA from 1 species